UAGCCUAGUGGUUAAGGCUUUGGAUCGCCAAUCCGGAGACAGCGGGUUCGAUUCCCGU
rnacentral:tRNA from 1 species